UACGUAGGGUGCGAGCGUUAUCCGGAAUUACUGGGCGUAAAGCGUGCGUAGGCGGAUUUUUAAGUCAAGUGUUAAAUCUGCAGGCUCAACUUGCGGGCUGCACUUGAUACUGGAAGUCUUGAGAAUGGAAGAGGCAGACGGAAUUCCCGGUGGAGCGGUUAAAUGCGUAGAUAUCGGGAAGAACACCAAUGGCGAAGGCAGUCUGCUGGGCCAUUUCUGACGCUAAGGCACGAAAGCGUGGGGAGCGAUCGGG
rnacentral:rRNA from 1 species